AUACGGAGGAUCCGAGCGUUAUCCGGAUUUAUUGGGUUUAAAGGGUGCGUAGGCGGCCUUUUAAGUCAGCGGUGAAAGUCUGUGGCUCAACCAUAGAAUUGCCGUUGAAACUGGGAGGCUUGAGUAUGUUUGAGGCAGGCGGAAUGCGGGGUGUAGCGGUGGAAUGCUUAGAUAUACCGCAGAACCCCGAUUGCGAAGGCAGCCUGCCAAGCCAUGACUGACGCCGAUGCACGAAAGCGUGGGGAUCAAACAGGAUUAGAUACCCUGGUAGUCCACGCAGUAAACGAUGAUCACUAGCUGUUUGCGAUACAGUGUAAGCGGCACAGCGAAAGCGUUAAGUGAUCCACCUGGGGAGUACGCCGGCAACGGUGAAACUCAAAUGAAUGGGCGGGG
rnacentral:rRNA from 1 species